GACGAACGCUGGCGGCGUGCUUAACACAUGCAAGUCGAACGGAAAGGCCCUGCUUUUGUGGGGUGCUCGAGUGGCGAACGGGUGAGUAACACGUGAGUAACCUGCCCUUGACUUUGGGAUAACUUCAGGAAACUGGGGCUAAUACCGGAUAGGAGCUCCUGCUGCAUGGUGGGGGUUGGAAAGUUUCGGCGGUUGGGGAUGGACUCGCGGCUUAUCAGCUUGUUGGUGGGGUAGUGGCUUACCAAGGCUUUGACGGGUAGCCGGCCUGAGAGGGUGACCGGAGUGAGGGGGACGCGGCUGAGGAGCGGACGCGGACGGGAGGGAGGGGUGGGGAAUGUGGGACGGAGGGCGGAAGGAGGAGGAAGCAAGGCUGGGGGGGGGAGGACGGGGUGGGGGUUGUCAGCCGCGUCGGCGUGUGAGGGGGGGGGGGAGUAGGUAAGGAGGAAGGAAGAACCGGCUAACUAGGGGCAAGAGGCCGCAAUAAGACUCGGAAGAGCAGACGUCUGAAC
rnacentral:rRNA from 1 species